rnacentral:rRNA from 1 species
AUUGAACGCUGGCGGCAGGCCUAACACAUGCAAGUCGAGCGGACGAAGGGAGCUUUCUCCUGUAUUCAGCGGCGGACGGGUGAGUAAGGCCUAGGAAUCUGCCUGGUAUUUGGGGAUAACGUCCGGAAACGGGCGCUAAUACCGCAUACGUCCUGAUAGAGAAAGGGAUGGAUCUUCGGACCUCACGCUAUCAGAUGAGCCUAGGUCGGAUUAGCUAGUUGGUGGGGUAACGGCCUACCAAGGCGACGAUCCGUAACUGGUCUGAGAGGAUGAUCAGUCACACUGGAACUGAGACACGGUCCAGACUCCUACGGGAGGCAGCAGUGGGGAAUCUUGGACAAUGGGCGAAAGCCUGAUCGAGCCACGCCGCGUGUGUGAAGAAGGUCUUCGGAUUGUAAAGCACUUUAAGUUGGGAGGAAGGGCAGUAAGUUAAUCCCUUGCCGUUUUGACGUUACCAACAGAAUAAGCACCGGCUAACUUCGUG